rnacentral:lncRNA from 1 species
AAUUUGUUAAAAUGAAUGUGAGUACAAAAGUUAGAAAUAGCAGACGUGAAAGUAUGUAAUAAUAAUACUGCAUCUUUUUCUAUAAUAUGAUACAUACACUGAUACAUGCACAUUUAUCAUCAGAAUACAUACUCCUCAACAUAUACACAUAUGAAUGGAAAAAGAGAAUUUUCUAUCAUUAAUUUCACACAUUACAUUUACACACACGUAGAAGGCAGAAUAGGAAAAAUUGAGUAAAAAUAGUGAAAACGCAGUAAAAUCAGUUGAAUCCGAUUAGAGUUCGCUGGAAAUCAAGCAAACUCCGGUCUCGGAUAACCAGAGUUCUCCUUUCGCCAGUCAGACGCCACGCCGGAGAACCCCAUCGGAACAAGUACACAUUGAUUUGUGAAAUUAGUAAACCACAAAACUACCAUUGCCACCGUCCCCAAAAAUCCACCGCCGGCGACGCCAUUAACGGCGAAGCCAUGGCCGGUGGUGCACGGACGCUGCUCAGCCUUCCCCUCCCCAAAUCCGGUGACUUUCAAUCGAACCAACAUCGCCGAAAAACUCCCCAGAAACGAGACAGUCGAGCCAUCGAUCUUCCCUUUCCUAGAUCUUUCACGGUACCACCGCUGCCGGCGCCUUCGCCGGUGCCACCUCUUCCUCUCAGUCUCCCUCUCGUCGCCACCAUAGAAAUAGAGAUUGAAGAGAGUCUAAAGUGAAAGAGAGAAAAAUUGAAGGUUAAUACUAGUACUAGGGGUAUACAUAAAAAAAAAUUAUAUAUUUUGUUUAAUGAUUAGUUAAAAGUGAAAUGGAAACAAAUUUAAUAUUUUUUUUGUUGUUUUGUAUUUUACUUACAAU